GUGUGUGUGGAAGUUAAUCCCGAUGGUGUUGAAGUUCACGGACGUGGAGGACGACGAGCUGAGAGAGUACUGUUUCCAGGCCUUUGAAGCCUUUACACGCAGCUGUCCAAAGGAGAUGUUGCCACGGUGACAAAGCUUUGCCUUAAGUUCAUGACCUUUGACCCGAACUACAACUAUGACGAUGAAGAGGAGGAGGAAGACAGCAUGGACGUGGAGGAAGGGCUGGAGGAAGUGAGAGGAAGAGCAGCAGAAGCCUCUUCAUGGUGCUGCUGUCCGAUGCUGAGAUCCUCCGUCAGAUUAUUAAACUGGUCUCUACAGUUCGUUGGUAUGAGUGUUGUGUUUUCCAAUUACUGUCGUGCCUUACCUUAAAUCUUUCUACCCCCAGCUUUCU